rnacentral:rRNA from 1 species
AUUGAACGCUGGCGGCAUGCUUUACACAUGCAAGUCGAACGGCAGCGCGGGCUUCGGCCUGGCGGCGAGUGGCGAACGGGUGAGUAAUGCAUCGGAACGUGCCCAGUAGUGGGGGAUAGCCCGGCGAAAGCCGGAUUAAUACCGCAUACGACCUGAGGGUGAAAGCGGGGGACCGAAAGGCCUUGCGCUAUUGGAGCGGCCGAUGUCGGAUUUGCUAGGUGGUGGGGUAAAGGCUUACCAAGGCGACGAUCCGUAGCUGGUCUGAGAGGACGACCAGCCACACUGGGACUGAGACACGGCCCAGACUCCUACGGGAGGCAGCAGUGGGGAAUUUUGGACAAUGGGGGCAACCCUGACCCAGCCAUGCCGCGUGCGGGAAGAAGGCCUUCGGGUUGUAAACCGCUUUUGUUCGGGAAGAAAUCCUCUGGGCUAAUACCCCGGGGGGAUGACGGUACCGGAAGAAUAAGCACCGGCUAACUACGUG